rnacentral:rRNA from 1 species
AGCGCAGGCGGGAAGGCAAGUCAGCUGUGAAAACUAUGGGCUUAACCCAUAGACUGCAGUUGAAACUGUCUUUCUUGAGUGGAGUAGAGGUAAGCGGAAUUCCGAGUGUAGCGGUGAAAUGCGUAGAGAUUCGGAGGAACACCAGUGGCGAAGGCGGCUUACUGGGCUCUAACUGACGCUGAGGCUCGAAAGUGUGGGGGAGCAAACA